GACGAACGCUGGCGGCGUGCUUAACACAUGCAAGUCGAACGGAAAGGCCCUGCUUUUGUGGGGUGCUCGAGUGGCGAACGGGUGAGUAACACGUGAGUAACCUGCCCUUGACUUUGGGAUAACUUCAGGAAACUGGGGCUAAUACCGGAUAGGAGCUCCUGCUGCAUGGUGGGGGUUGGAAAGUUUCGGCGGUUGGGGAUGGACUCGCGGCUUAUCAGCUUGUUGGUGGGGUAGUGGCUUACCAAGGCUUUGACGGGUAGCCGGCCUGAGAGGGUGACCGGCCACAUUGGGACUGAGAAACGGCCCAGACUCCUACGGGAGGGAGCAGUGGGGAAUAUUGCACAAUGGGCGGAAGCCUGAUGCAGCAACGCCGCGUGCGGGAUGACGGCCUUCGGGUUGUAAACCGCUUUCGCCUGUGACGAAGCGUGAGUGACGGUAAUGGGUAAAGAAGCACCGGCUAACUACGUG
rnacentral:rRNA from 1 species